GACGAACGCUGGCGGCGUGCUUAACACAUGCAAGUCGAACGGAAAGGCCCUGCUUUUGUGGGGUGCUCGAGUGGCGAACGGGUGAGUAACACGUGAGUAACCUGCCCUUGACUUUGGGAUAACUUCAGGAAACUGGGGCUAAUACCGGAUAGGAGCUCCUGCUGCAUGGUGGGGGUUGGAAAGUUUCGGCGGUUGGGGAUGGACUCGCGGCUUAUCAGCUUGUUGGUGGGGUAGUGGCUUACCAAGGCUUUGACGGGUAGCCGGCCUGAGAGGGUGACCGGCGACAUUGGGCCUGAGAGACGGCCCAGACUCGUACGGGAGGCAGCAGGGGGGAAUAUUGCACAAUGGGCGGAAGCCUGAUGCAGCAACGCCGCGUGCGGGAUGACGGCCUUCGGGUUGUAAACCGCUUUCGCCUGUGACGAAGCGUGAGUGACGGUAAUGGGUAAAGAAGCACCGGCUAACUACGUG
rnacentral:rRNA from 1 species